AAUUAGAGACAUCAUGGAAUGAUUUCCUAGUGGUCUGUAUCUCAUUAGAACUUUUUAGUUAAGCGUGCUCAGGCUAGAGUAGUAUUGGGAUGAGUGACCACUCCGAAAGUCCUAGUGUUUUACAUG
rnacentral:rRNA from 1 species